rnacentral:rRNA from 1 species
UACGAAGGGGGCUAGCGUUGUUCGGAAUUACUGGGCGUAAAGCGCACGUAGGCGGAUGUUUAAGCCGGGGGUGAAAUCCCAGGGCUCAACCCUGGAACUGCCUUCGAUACUGGACGUCUCGAGUCCGAGAGAGGUGAGUGGAAUUCCGAGUGUAGAGGUGAAAUUCGUAGAUAUUCGGAAGAACACCAGUGGCGAAGGCGGCUCACUGGCUCGGAACUGACGCUGAGGUGCGAAAGCGUGGGGAGCAAACAGG